rnacentral:rRNA from 1 species
GACGAACGCUGGCGGCGUGCUUAACACAUGCAAGUCGAGCGGAGCGGCGUACGGGUGAGUAACGCGUGAGUAACUGCCCCCCUCUCUGGGAUAACAGUUGAAUACUGCUGCUAAUACCGGAUAGUGGGGGAUGACUCGGGGCCUAUCAGCUUGUUGGUGGGGUAGUGGCCUACCAAGGCGACGACGGGUAGCCGGCCUGAGAGGGCGACAGGCCACAGUGGGCUGGGAUACGGCCCAAACUGCUACGUGAGGAAGCAGUGGAGAAUAUUGCAAAAUGCGGCAAACCCUGAUGCAGCAACGCGGGGGCGGGAUGACGGUCUUCGGGUUGUAAACCGCUUUCAGCCAUGACGCGGUAGUGGCAGAAGAAGCACCGGCUAACUACGUGCCAGCAGCCGCGGUAAUUC